UACAGAGGUCCCAAGCGUUGUUCGGAUUCACUGGGCGUAAAGGGUGCGUAGGCGGUCGGGUAAGUCUGAUGUGAAAUCUAACAGCUUAACUGUGAAACUGCAUUGGAUACUAUCUGGCUUGAGGAAUGGAGGGGAGACUGGAAUUCCUGGUGUAGCGGUGAAAUGCGCAGAUAUCAGGAGGAACACCGGUGGCGAAGGCGGGUCUCUGGGCCGAUACUGACGCUGAGGAGCGAAAGCGUGGGGAGCAAACAGG
rnacentral:rRNA from 1 species